UACGUAGGGCGCAAGCGUUGUCCGGAAUUAUUGGGCGUAAAGAGCUCGUAGGCGGUCUGUCGCGUCUGCCGUGAAAACCCGAGGCUUAACCUCGUGGCUUGCGGUGGAUACGGGCAGACUAGAGGUAGGUAGGGGAGAAUGGAAUUCCCGGUGUAGCGGUGAAAUGCGCAGAUAUCGGGAGGAACACCGGUGGCGAAGGCGGUUCUCUGGGCCCUACCUGACGCUGAGGAGCGAAAGCGUGGGGAGCGAACAGG
rnacentral:rRNA from 1 species